UACGUAGGGUGCAAGCGUUAAUCGGAAUUACUGGGCGUAAAGCGUGCGCAGGCGGCUUUGCAAGACAGAUGUGAAAUCCCCGGGCUUAACCUGGGAACUGCAUUUGUGACUGCAUGGCUAGAGUGCGGCAGAGGGGGAUGGAAUUCCGCGUGUAGCAGUGGAAUGCGCAGAUAUUAGGAGGAACACCAAUAGCGAAGGCAGCUCGCUGGGACGGUACUGACGCUGAGGUGCGAAAGCGUGGGGAGCAAACAGG
rnacentral:rRNA from 1 species